AUUGAACGCUGGCGGCAGGCCUAACACAUGCAAGUCGAGCGGAGGAAGGGAGCUUGCUCCUGGAUUCAGCGGCGGACGGGUGAGUAAUGCCUAGGAAUCUGCCUGGUAGUGGGGGAUAACGUCCGGAAACGGGCGCUAAUACCGCAUACGUCCUGAGGGAGAAAGUGGGGGAUCUUCGGACCUCACGCUAUCAGAUGAGCCUAGGUCGGAUUAGCUAGUUGGUGGGGUAAAGGCCUACCAAGGCGACGAUCCGUAACUGGUCUGAGAGGAUGAUCAGUCACACUGGAACUGAGACACGGUCCAGACUCCUACGGGAGGCAGCAGUGGGGAAUAUUGGACAAUGGGCGAAAGCCUGAUCCAGCCAUGCCGCGUGUGUGAAGAAGGUCUUCGGAUUGUAAAGCACUUUAAGUUGGGAGGAAGGGCAGUAAGUUAAUACCUUGCUGCUUUGACGUUACCAACAGAAUAAGCACCGGCUAACUUCGUG
rnacentral:rRNA from 1 species